UAAACGACUCUCGGCAACGGAUAUCUCGGCUCAUGCAUCGAUGAAGAACGUAGCAAAAUGCGAUACUUGGUGUGAAUUGCAGAAUCCCGUGAACCAUCGAGUUUUUGAACGCAAGUUGCGCCCGAAGCCUUUUGGUUGAGGGCACGUCUGCCUGGGUGUCACAC
rnacentral:rRNA from 1 species